CAGCAGCAGCCGCGGUAAUACGUAGGUGGCAAGCGUUGUCCGGAAUUAUUGGGCGUAAAGGGCUCGCAGGCGGUUUCUUAAGUCUGAUGUGAAAGCCCACGGCUCAACCGGGGAGGGUCAUUGGAAACUGGGAAACUUGAGUGCAGAAGAGGAGAGUGGAAUUCCACGUGUAGCGGUGAAAUGCGUAGAGAUGUGGAGGAACACCAGUGGCGAAGGCGACUCUCUGGUCUGUAACUGACGCUGAGGAGCGAAAGCGUGGGGAGCGAACAGGAUUAGAUACCCCAGUAGUCCCUGUCUCUUAUAC
rnacentral:rRNA from 1 species